rnacentral:lncRNA from 1 species
AAAAAAGGUACAAAGAUUGGAAAGGAAGAAACAACUAUUCUUAUUUGCCACUAAUAUAAUUCCAACAGAUCUUUGGACAAACCAUUAUAACUAGGUAAGGGAGUUCAACAAGGUUGCUAGAUAUAAGAAUCAACAUAAAGACCAAUGGCAUUCCUACACACAAUAGUCAAUGAGGAAAUGUAACAAAAAAGUCACAUUCAUAGUAGAAAGAAAAACUAACUUACUUAGACAUAAACUAAUAAAAAAUGUAAGAGACUACUCAGGAGAAAACUGUAAAACAUUACUGAAGGACAUUAAAAGCCCUAAAUGAACAGAGAGACAUGUGUACAGAUGAAAGGAGUAAAUUUUUCAAAACUGUGAAUUCUCAGAUUAACCUAUAAAUCCAAAGUAAUUCCAAUAAAAAUAACAACAGUGUUUUCAUGGAACAUAACAAACUGAUCCUAGAAUUUACAGCAAAGACAAAGUCAAGAAGAGCUAAGCUAAUUCUGAAGAACAUACAAUUAGCUCACCAGAUACCAACUUAUACAGCUAUAUAGUAAUGAAGACAAUAUGGUAUUGGUUGGGACAAACAACCGUUGAAACAGGAAAGGGGAUCUAGAAAAUUCUGCAUAUAUGGGAAACUGAUGUAUGACAAAGGUGGUACUAUAUGAGGUAAUGACAGGUUGGCCCCAACAAAUAAGUGUCAUUCUUCUCUUUUGGUUCAAGUAAAGGGACAGUGAGAAGUUUCAAAGGGCACUAUGGAGGUGAGAAAACUGCUGAAAACUGAAUUAUAAUUUGCCAAAAUAUUGGGCUUUUCCUGGCUGGGGGUUCCUAAACCAUGCAGAGGCUAAGCUAACGUGGAAUUCUCAAGCAUAACCAACACCCAGACAAUAGCCUACAGGAGACUCCACACAGGUAUUUCUGUACUUCUUCCAAUUUAAAGCUCCAUGGUCUCGAAUAUGGAUUGUUUUCAGAAAUGGUAAAAAGAAAAAAAUGUUAUGUAUUAGCAAAGAGAGCCUCUUUGGGGACUACUCCUAUCGUAUCACAUACUCAGAGUGGGAGAUGUAGUUGGAAAUGUUAUGCCCUUACUCUCUAUUCCCCACAACCCCAUUUGUCCACAUGCGAGGUGGCACAUUCUUGUCUUGGGCUAGAGAAGAGUGACUAAAGUUUUUUCAGAGCUUUCCCUGCACCAACAAUAGCCUUGUUGACUACCUUAGAAAGGGGAAAAAAAUCAACUUAAAGUUUAUUUGCACCUUAAAAGUUCAUGAUAAAAAUGCAAAUACAGUAACAAAAACAUCCUCACCCAAUCUAUAAUUUUAAGUAAUUUAUUUCAAUAGAAAUAUUUCAGAAAACUGUACUUAAAUUCAUCUUAAGUUAGCUUAUGCAGACACACUGAAGAUCGCACACUCACAUUUGCAUAUUAAAAAGAAACAAAAAGUGAGAGAGGAACCAAGCUGCACAUCACUCAAGGAGGUCAUAGUGCAAUCGAGUGCUUCAUCAUUAGAGUACCUCAAGUUAAUUGGGAUAAAGAAUAAAAAUGGCUUGUGUUUUCAGAUAUAUUAUCAUCACUGGGUACCUGUCCUUACAGAUGUUUGAUCUCCUUCAGAUUAUGUUGUGAACCAGUUCCCCACCCCCUCCCCACACACAUGUUCUUUAGUAGGAUGUAAAACAAUGAAUUUGUCAAUAAUCAAGGUACAGAAACUCUUGAGAGUCUGACUUAUUAUCAGCUAUUUUACCAUACCUAUUAAGUCAGUAAUUAUUGGACUAUAUAUGUGAGUAGUUCUAGUAGGUCAUAUCUUCAGGGGAAACAAUAUUUGUUAUCUGGUAUCUAAAGCACAGCUAUUAUUUAUGAAGUUUCUGCUUUUCUAUUAAGAAAAAAAAGAGCCCAAUCCCAAAACACUGUAAUUAUGUAUUCUUUUAAUCCCAUAAUCACUUCUGUAGUACAAAUGGCCAGGGUCAAAAUUUAAAUUUUGCUAACACUCCUCAAGGACCAGUUAACUCUUUCAUUUGGCUUGAAUGACUACUUGCCUACUCUGGAACAUACUAGCCCUUUAAAAAAAUGUGAAAAGAACAUCUUGAUUCAGGUUAACAUCCAGUAGCUCUAGGUCUUCCAAUAAUCUGAGAGAAGCAAAAUAUUUCCAACUUUGCUUUCACUGAAAAAACUAGCUUAGUCUCUUAACUUUCCUUUAACUUAUAUAUUAGAGAUAUUUUUACUUUCUUGUAUAUUUUCAAGAAAAUAAUAACUGGCAGGUUAAGUGACUACUUGUUUGUUUUGAGUGUUACUUAAAUGUAAAAAUAAAUGGAAAUAAAUCUCAUUUCUGGCCAAAGGGAUUUUCAUUACAAGAUUUCAGUACAUUUAACAAAACUCAAAUAUUUCUGGUUGUAUCUUAUUCUUUUAGGGCUUUUCCAAAAGGCCUUACAAUUAAAUGUAUGCUCAAAACAUCAACAACAAAAUAAAAAUGAACUUGGCUGAAGAGUGCUCUUCAAAUUUGUUUUUAAGAGUGCUUAUCUAAAGGUUGACUGGGGUGGGUUUAUUUUUAAUCUCCUACUCUAAAAGGAUAGAAGCAGGGUAGGAGCUUGUUUAAAAAGACUCAAAAACCAAGGAAGACUGCAACAAUCACCUACAGAGGAUUUGCUUUAUUAAAGAUUAUCUUCUGUUAGGCAACACUGGCACCCCUU